GACGAACGCUGGCGGCGUGCUUAACACAUGCAAGUGGAGCGGCGAACCCGGGCUUGCCCUGGGGCCGCGCCUCGAACGGGUGAGUAACACGUGUGUAACGUGCCCCGAUGACUGGGACAACCCGUGGAAACACGGGGUAAUACCGGAGGUGCCCCCUCACAUCAGGGAGGUGUGGAAAGAAAGCUUCGGCCUCCGCCUCGGGAUCGGCCCGCGGCCCAUUUGCUUGGUGGUGGGGUAACGGCCCACCACGGCUGCGAUGGGUAGCUGGUCUGAGAGGACGAUCAGCCACACUGGGACUGAGACACGGCCCAGACUCCUACGGGAGGCAGCAGUGGGGAAUCUUGCGCAAUGCGCGAAAGCGUGACGCAGCAACGCCGCGUGGGGGAAGACGGCCUUCGGGUUGUAAACCCCUUUCAGUUGGGACGAAGGUCGGGCGGUUAACAGCCGUUCCGGCUGACGGUACCUGCACAAGAAGCCCCGGCUAACUACGUG
rnacentral:rRNA from 1 species